rnacentral:lncRNA from 1 species
GGGGGGUCAUGCCAACCUCGCGAGCCCGCCCUCGCACACCUCUCAACGCCUACCCGGACACCGCGAUAGGACAGCGCGCGAGGAUGGCACAGAGAGAUAUGUUCGGAAGAGAGAGAGAGAGAGAGAGAGGGAGGGAGGGAGGGAGAGAGAGAGAGAUUGAGGGGUAUAGGCAACGAAGAGCAGCAAUAACAGGAAACACCGCGCGCAGGGCUUUCCUACGGAGUCGAUGCUCGCGCUGACCAGAGCAGACCGAUAAAACGGGAAGAGGACCGUCUCACAACUCUAAACAGAACCAACCGGUUCUAACAGUCUCUCGGAGAGAGAGAAAAAGAGAGAGAACGGCCUGUUUCCGUGCAGGGAGUUAUCCAGUCGAAAACAGUCAUUGAGGAGGAGAAAAGAAAGAGCUAUGGAUUCCCCCUCUGAUCUGUUUGGUCAUCAGUCCUCCUUGAUCUCUCCUUUUGACCCGAGGGUUUGUCUCCCUGUCAUCUGAAGAAAGCCAAACUGAUGUUCUUCUACGCUAGAUACCCCAGCUCUAACACGCUCAAGACUUACUUCCCUGAUGUCAAGUUCAACCGCUGCGUGACCUCCCAGCUGAUCAAGUGGUUCAGUAACUUCCGAGAGUUCUUCUACAUCCAGAUGGAGCGCUUCGCCAGACAGGCUGCCCGCGACGGUGCACCCUGCCUGGGGAGAGAUAGCAGAGAGCCCCCCCUACGCCUGGGGAGAGACACGGAGCUCUAUCGCAUACUGAACAUGCACUAUAACAAGAGCAACGACUAUCAGGUAGGUUUGAGAGAGGGAGGGAGGGAAGGAAGGGUGAGGAAGGAGUGGUCUGGACUCUUGUUUGUACACACAGACACGCAUUAAUACACUUUUAUUAAUGUAUUUUUAUUUAACCUUUAUUUAACUUAAUGACCUUCUGCUUCUUCAAACCGAACAGCAGGCUUCUUCACAGCAAUACAGACUAACUGUCUCUGUCUGUCUCUGUCUGUCUCUGUCUGUCUGUCUGUCUCUGUCUGUCUGUCUGUCUGUCUGUCUGUCUGUCUGUCUGUCUGUCUGUCUGUCUGUCUGUCUGUCUGUCUGUCUGUCUGUCUGUCUGUCUGUCUCUCUCUCUCUCUCUCUCUCUCUCUUUCUCUCUUUUUCUCUUUUUCUCUUUCUAGGUUCCUGACAGGUUUGUAGAGAUUGCAGAGUUAGCCCUGAGGGAGUUCUUCACAGCCAUACAGACAGGACGUGACAGUGACCCCUGCUGGAAGAAAUCAAUUUAUAAGAUGAUCUGUAAACUAGAUAGUCCUGUACCAGAUAGUUUUAGACUGCCUGGCUGCCCUAUUGGCUGAGGAGAGGUCAAACACACCGUGACCUGAUGAACAACAAUGAAAUGUUGCAAUUAUUAAACGUAUAGAACAUGUGACCUAUAAUGGAGGGAGCAAGGAAGGUCUAAUGGAAUUACUAUACUAUUAUUGUAUUAUACUAUUAUACAGUAUUACUACAGUAUUACUAUACUAUUAUACUGUACUAUUAUAUGAUAUUACUAUACUAUUAUUGUAUUAUACUAUUAUACAGUAUUACUACAGUAUUACUAUACUAUUAUACUGUACUAUUAUAUGAUAUUACUAUACUAUUAUUGUAUUAUACUAUUAUACAGUAUUACUAUACUAUUAUACUGUACUAUUAUAUGAUAUUACUAUAUUAUUAUACUGUACUAUUAAAUGAUAUUAAUAUACUAUUAUACUGUACUAUUAUAUGAUAUUACUAUACUAUUAUACUAUUAUACAGUAUUACUACAGUAUUACUAUACUAUUAUACUGUACUAUUAUAUGAUAUUACUAUACUAUUAUUCGAUAGUACUAUACUAUUAUACAAUAUUACUAUACUGUACUAUACUAUUGUACUAUACUAUUAUACAGUAUUACUGUACUGUACUAUUAUACAAUAUUACUAUACUGUACUAUAAUAUUGUACUAUACUAUUAUACAGUAUUACUAUACUGUACUAUACUAUUAUACGAUAUGACUAUACUAUUAUACUGUACUAUACUAUUAUACUGUACUAUACUAUUAUACAAUAUUACUAUACUAUUAUACUGUACUAUACUAUUAUAUGAUAUUACUAUACUAUUAUACUGUAUUAUACGAUAUUACUAUACUAUUAUAUGAUAUUUGUAUACUAUAACUGUAGUAAACAAUUAUUAUACUGUAAUUAUACUAUUACUAUACUGUACUAUUACUGUACUGUACUAUUACUACUAUACUAUUACUGUACUACACUAUUACUAUACUGUACUGUACUAUUACUGUAUUGUACUAUUACUAUUACUGUAUUGUACUGUACUAUUACUAUACUAUUAUUGUACUGUACUAUUACUUUACUUUUACGGUAUUGUACUGUACUAUUACUGUACUAUACUAUUACUAUACUGUACUAUUACUAUAUUGUAUUGUACUAUUACUAUAUUGUACUGUACUAUUACUAUACUAUUGCUGUAUUGUACUAUACUAUUACUGUACUAUAACUAUACUGUACUAUAUUGUUACUGUACUAUACUAUUACUCUACUGUACUACACUAUUACUGUACUACACUAUUACUAUACUAUUACCAUACUGUAAUAUAACUAUGCUAUUAGUGCACAGAGUUUUCUCCGUGUACUCUGUUCUGCCCUGAAACUGGUGGAAUUCCAAAUAGCUAAUUAGUCCACUACUUUUGACAAGAGGGCCCAUAGGCAUUUGGGACACAGGCCUCUUGUCUUUCUUGUGGCUUGGCUCAUAUAUUAUGUUAGUGAAAGACUUGCUCCACAGCGAUAAAGUUCUGCAAUGCGGCGGUGUAGUCUUCACUGCAAAAUGGAAUGUUACACUUUUGUUUGUUUACUUGUUUACUAUACUGUUGUUUUGUUGUUGUUAAAAACAUUUAAAAAAUAUAUAUAUAUGAUCUUGAUCUUUUGAAGUUCAUGUGAACAUGUCAAAUCUGUGAUGCGCAUUCCUGCGUUUUUUUAACAUAUAAAUGUUAUUACUGGAAUCUAGAAUAGUCAUUAUAUUAAUUGUAUUUCCAUGGUUUCUAAUAUAUGACAAGAUCUGUGCCUCAACUUUUUUGAUGUUAUGACACACACACACACAUGCUUUUGAUGUUAUGACAGAUACACAGGUUUUUGAUGUUAUGACAGAUACACAGGUUUUUGAUGUUAUGACAUAAAAUCAGUGUAAUAAAUGAAGGAAGUGGUGAAAACACUGAGAAAUAAAAUGGAGUAUUGAAGAGGGAACAUGGAGGGUGACUGUUUUUCUCUCAUGACAGGAAGGUUAACACACAAACCUACCAUAGCCUUCUCUCUCCAUUACCCUUCCCUCUCUCCAUUACCCUUCUCUCUCCAUUACCCUUCCCUCUCUCCAUUACCCUUCUCUCUCCAUUACCCUUCUCUCUCCAUUACCCUUCUCUCUCCAUUACCC